GACGAACGCUGGCGGCGUGCUUAACACAUGCAAGUCGAACGGAAAGGCCCUGCUUGCAGGGUACUCGAGUGGCGAACGGGUGAGUAACACGUGGGUGAUCUGCCCUGCACUUCGGGAUAAGCCUGGGAAACUGGGUCUAAUACCGGAUAGGAGCCAUUUUUAGUGUGAUGGUUGGAAAGUUUUUUCGGUGUAGGAUGAGCUCGCGGCCUAUCAGCUUGUUGGUGGGGUAAUGGCCUACCAAGGCGGCGACGGGUAGCCGGCCUGAGAGGGUGGACGGCCACAUUGGGACUGAGAUACGACCCAGACUCCUACGGGAGGCAGCAGUGGGGAAUAUUGCACAAUGGGCGCAAGCCUGAUGCAGCGACGCCGCGGGGGGGAUGACGGCCUUCGGGUUGUAAACUCCUUUCGCUAGGGACGAAGCUUUUUGUGACGGUACCUAGAUAAGAAGCACCGGCUAACUACGUG
rnacentral:rRNA from 1 species